AGGCCUAACACAUGCAAGUCGGACGAGAAGGUUCCUUCGGGAACUGGAGAGUGGCGCACGGGUGAGUAACGCGUGGGGACCUACCUCUUAGUGGGGGAUAACGGUUGGAAACGACCGCUAAUACCGCAUACGCCCUUCGGGGGAAAGAUUUAUCGCUAAGAGAUGGACCCGCGUUGGAUUAGAUAGUUGGUGAGGUAACGGCUCACCAAGUCGGCGAUCCAUAGCUGGUUUGAGUGGAUGAUCAGCCACACUGGGACUGAGACACGGCCCAGACUCCUACGGGAGGCAGCAGUGGGGAAUAUUGGACAAUGGGGGCAACCCUGAUCCAGCCAUGCUGCGUGAGUGAAGAAGGCCUUCGGGUUGUAAAGCUCUUUCAGAUGCGAAGAUGAUGACGGUAACAUCAGAAGAAGCCCC
rnacentral:rRNA from 1 species